GACGAACGCUGGCGGCGUGCUUAACACAUGCAAGUCGAACGGUAAGGCCCUUCGGGGUACACGAGUGGCGAACGGGUGAGUAGCACGUGGGUGAUCUGCCCUGCACUUCGGGAUAAGCCUGGGAAACUGGGUCUAAUACCGGAUAGGACCACUGCCUGCAUGGGUGGUGGUGGAAAGCUUUUGCGGUGUGGGAUGGGCCCGCGGCCUAUCAGCUUGUUGGUGGGGUGAUGGCCUACCAAGGCGACGACGGGUAGCCGGCCUGGGAGGGUGACCGGCCACACUGGGACUGGGAUACGGCCCAGACUCCUACGGGAGGCAGCGGUGGGGAAUAUUGCACAAUGGGCGCAAGCCUGAUGCAGCGACGCCGCGUGAGGGAUGACGGCCUUCGGGUUGUAAACCUCUUUCAGCUAUGACGAAGCGCAAGUGACGGUAGUAGCAGAAGAAGGACCGGCCAACUACGUGCCAGCCGCCGCCGUAA
rnacentral:rRNA from 1 species